CAGCACUGGCAAGUGACCCACUGGGCUCCUCCUUGACCAACUGGGCAUCGAGCAGUGCCAAAGCAAAUCCCUCCACAAAGCUGGGAGAGUCAUGCUGUGGGCUACUCCUGCAUGCAGGUGGGUACAUAU
ensembl:snoRNA